GACGAACGCUGGCGGCGUGCUUAACACAUGCAAGUCGAACGGAAAGGCCCUGCUUUUGUGGGGUGCUCGAGUGGCGAACGGGUGAGUAACACGUGAGUAACCUGCCCUUGACUUUGGGAUAACUUCAGGAAACUGGGGCUAAUACCGGAUAGGAGCUCCUGCUGCAUGGUGGGGGUUGGAAAGUUUCGGCGGUUGGGGAUGGACUCGCGGCUUAUCAGCUUGUUGGUGGGGUAGUGGCUUACCAAGGCUUUGACGGGUAGCCGGCCGGAGAGGGUGACCGGCGACAAUGGGACUGAGAGACGGCCCAGACUCCUACGGGAGGCAGCAGUGGGGAAUAUUGCACAAUGGGCGGAAGCCUGAUGCAGCAACGUCGCGUGCGGGAUGACGGCCUUCGGGGUGUGAACCGCUUUCGCCUGUGACGAAGCGUGAGUGACGGUAAUGAGUAAAGAAGCACCGGCUAACUACGUG
rnacentral:rRNA from 1 species